CAUGGCAGCUCUUCAAACGACCACACAGCCACAGGAUGUUGCUCCACAACCCACACGGACUCCCCGAACACAGGGAAGCACCCCUACUACGACCAUGAGAUGCAAGCCGACCAAUAACAAGUUGGAGGAGAACUAAUGUAGUCGAGCAGAGGAAGUACAAACUGUCUCAGAAGAGCCUUGCACAAACAUCAAAGUUCACAGCAGGCAAGGGAAGCACAGGAAGAUGUGUACUUAUUGUCACAAUAACCCCAUUAUGCAUUUAAGGAAGAAAAUACCCAUUAUUUAUUUUCAGAAAUGAUAGAUCCAUGGUCAAACUUGUGGUCCUUUUAAAGUUUUUGUAUAAUAGUGUUACAAAGAAUGAAAGCACAUAUAGGCCUAUACAUAAUUAUUUCUGAGCCCCUUAUGGUCAAAAUCAGGUUGCAGCCUGUCUGACUAAAUGUAAAGUUAUGAGGUUGUAAGUUGUAACUAUCCAUAAAUGUACUGCUAAUCAUUCAUCGUAUGCAUGCAUAGGCCUUCUACAGAGCCAAUGUCUGCUGAAUGGAUAACUAAUAUGAUCUACAGUCCAAGAAGAAUUGUUCACCAACACAAUGAUUUGUUUAUAGGCCAACCGCGUUUGACAAAACGAGCGCACUUAAAGUUGUAAAACUAGGAAGUUGGACGAUAAUUCCAGAAGCAUUUGAAGAACUCAAGUUAAUCUCAAAAUGAGCAGAAUUUACCAUAACACAUCCUUGCAAAAUAAACCAGUCCAUAAUGAUAGAAUAGACAGCAUUUGGCCCCCGGCAUCUGACAGCGGGCCGGGGGUCCUUCUCGAGGGAAUGCUUCGGGAUGUCUCCCGACAUGUCAUCACCGACGUCAAUAAUCAGAAGGUGCGUUUCUAUGCAUUGUACAUCAAACCAACCCGUAUCCAUCAGCGAAGGUUUGACCCCAGUGGAAAGGAAAUCGAGCCGAAUUUCAGUGACACCAGGAAGGUCAACACUGGUUACCUAAUGUCCUCCUUCAAGACGGAGGCCAAAGGGGAGUCGGACCGUCUGUCUGAGCAGCAGCUGGCGGCCAUGGUGAACCAGGCAGAGCUGGUGAAGAUAACCUGCCAGCACACACCCAGCGGCGGCACCCUGGCCUUCUGGUACCCCGAGGCCCAGAUGGAGAACACAGAGCUUGAGGUGGGCCAGGCGGUGCGCCUCAAGACCAGAGGAAACAGCCCCUUCAUCUUCUCGUUAGCCCAGGUGGACGCCGGUAACGUAACAAAGUGCAAUUUCGCCGGCGAUGAAAACGCUGGCGCAUCAUGGACGGACAAGAUCAUGGCCAACAAAGCAGGGGCAGCUGGUGUUCAGAGCAACAGCGAAGAGGGACCGGGGGCCGAGGAGGACGAAUGGGUCACGGGUGGUAGACUAAUAUGCCGGUGAAGUCAUCAUGUCCAGGGACACUUUUCCCAGAGCGAUCAUAGCGAGGUUAACACAGGUGUACCCUGCGUUAACCUUGGGACGAAUGAAGCAGAAAUACAAGCGUGAGCCUUUCCCUGCCGUUCUAGUUCCUCGUGGAGCGCUGGCUGACACUCCUCUGUAUCAUUCUACAAGUAUUUGGAUCUUUCACUGAUUCACUCCCUCCAGCCAAAUCAACUGUCUUUUUAAACAAAGACUUUGUUUGAUUAGGCUUCAGCAUAAUAAGAGGUCGGGUUCAUGGGCAUGAGCUCCACUGUUUCCUCCCCCAGUCGUCUUUCAGGUUGCAUUGUGGGUUGUACCCGGUGCAAUAAUGAUGGGACCCAUUCAAUUACAUUUCAAUUCAAUUACAUACAAGAAGAGAAACACAGAUAACCUUGACUGGAAGCCCAGACAGAAAAGCCAUGAAAGGGAGAACAUUUAUGAAACUGUUGUGUGUUAAGUUAAAAAAUACUAAUACAUCUGUAAUAAAACAUAAAACAUUGAAACACA